rnacentral:tRNA from 1 species
GCCGACUUAGCUCAGUUGGUAGAGCAGUAGUUUUGUAAACUUCAGGUCGUCGGUUCAAGCCCGUCAGUCGGCUCCA